UAAUUCUCCUUGAAUGGUUUUUUUUUUUCGUGGAAUUCUCCUUAAAUUACCAAAUCCUGACAUGGGGAGGUGGUGACGAUAAAUAACAAUAACGAGCUCAUUGAGUCUAGUAGAAUGAAUACAAUUUAAAUCCCUUAAUGAGGAUCCAUUGGAGGGCAAGUUUGGUGCUAGUAGCCGCGAUAAUUCUA
rnacentral:ncRNA from 1 species